GCUUGACAUUUAAGCAAAAAAAAAAAAAAAAAAAGCAUAAGCGAUAAUUAUACUUUAAGUUGUCCCAUAAUUAAAAAUUCUUCACAAAAGAACAUUUUCUGUCAUUUGCUUAUAACAUCUUUUGCAAGUUUUUCGCCUUGUCCACUUUUACAUUUCAGGUAAAAAGCUACAUGAAAAUAUCAUGAAGCAUCACUCUCCAAGCGCAACUGAAAUUGAUAUAUUGCUUUGCUUUUCGUUCCUUCCUAAACAAAGUCCAGGCACGGAGCACAGCGCUUGUAGCCACUCGCUUAUGGUGAUGGGCAGACUGUAGAACAUAGAUAUAGCAAUCUGCUUGGCUGAUUUCUGCUACCCAUUGGGAGUCAUGGACGAAGUCUCAGCAGGUUGAAUGCUGUGCACCCACGCACUGCAGAAUGCUGUGAUUACAGCAGGAGAGCCAGAAGUCACAUGAUGCCAGAUCUGGGAGAUAUCAAUUUCCAUACUAGAAAAAUGAGUGGCACAGAGCAUUGUUACAAUGGAGAAUGAAACUUUUCACCCAUGUCACAGGGUAUUGAGGCAGCCAUGACAGCACAACUAAAGACAAUCAUGGGCGGGGACUUCCAGAGCUGCUUCAGAAAGUGGCAAGAAUGAUAGGAUAAGUGUGUCUGAAGCAAA